GAGGGAAUCUUCGGCAAUGGACGGAAGUCUGACCGAGCAACGCCGCGUGAGUGAAGAAGGUUUUCGGAUUGUAAAGCUCUGUUGUUAGAGAAGAACGUUGGUAGGAGUGGAAAAUCUACCAAGCGACGGUAACUAACCAGAAAGGGACGGCUAACUACGUGCCAGCAGCCGCGGUAAUACGUAGGUCCCGAGCGUUGUCCGGAUUUAUUGGGCGUAAAGCGAGCGCAGGCGGUUCUUUAAGUCUGAAGUUAAAGGCAGUGGCUUAACCAUUGUACGCUUUGGAAACUGGAGGACUUGAGUGCAGAAGGGGAGAGUGGAAUUCCAUGUGUAGCGGUUAAAUGCGUAGAUAUAUGGAGGAACACCGGUGGCGAAAGCGGCUCUCUGGUCUGUAACUGACGCUGAGGCUCGAAAGCGUGGGGAGCAAACAGG
rnacentral:rRNA from 1 species